CUAAAGCAUGCAAGUCGUACGCGAAAGUCCUAUCGGGAACGAGUAGAGUGGCGAAAGGGCGAGGAAUACAUGGGUAACAUACCCCCGGCACAGGGAUAGCCGCGGGAAAGCGCGGGUAAUACCUGAUAUGACCACGGCAUCUUAUGAUGCAGCGGUAAAAGGGUGGGGACCUUCGGGCCUACCGGCCAGGGAGUGGCCCAUGUCCUAUCAGCUUGUUGGUGAGGUAACGGCUCACCAAGGCGACGACGGGUACCGGGGCUGAGAGGCUGAUCCGGCGCAUUGGGACUGAGACACUAGCCCAGACUCCUACGGGAGGCUGCAGCGACGAAUAUUGCACAAUGGGCGCAAGCCUGAUGCAGCGACGCCGCGUGUGGGAGGAAGCCCCUCGGGGUGUAAACCACUGUCAGGGACCACCAAGCGACCCGGGCGAAUAGUCCGGGAAGUUGAGGAAUCCCAGAGGAAGUCACGGCUAACUUCGUGCCAGCAGCCGCGGUAAGACGAAGGUGGCAAGCGUAGUACGGAAUCACUGGGCUUAAAGAGCACGUAGGCGGAUUGUCAAGCACGUAUGUGAAAUCCCUCGGCUAAACCGAGGAAUAGCUUGGUGAACUGGCAGUCUUGAGGCAGGUAGAGGCACACGGAACUCUAGGAGGAGCGGGGGAAUGCGUAAAUAUCAAGAGGAACGCCA
rnacentral:rRNA from 1 species